rnacentral:rRNA from 1 species
AUUGAACGCUGGCGGCAUGCCUUACACAUGCAAGUCGAACGGCAGCACGGGAGCAAUCCUGGUGGCGAGUGGCGAACGGGUGAGUAAAGUAUCGGAACGUGCCCAGUCGUGGGGGAUAACGUAGCGAAAGUUACGCUAAUACCGCAUACGAUCUAUGGAUGAAAGCGGGGGAUCGCAAGACCUCGCGCGAUUGGAGCGGCCGAUAUCAGACUAGGUAGUUGGUGGGGUAAAGGCCCACCAAGCCGACGAUCUGUAGCUGGUCUGAGAGGACGACCAGCCACACUGGGACUGAGCCACGGCCCAGACUCCUACGGGAGGCAGCAGUGGGGAAUUUUGGACAAUGGGCGAAAGCCUGAUCCAGCCAUGCCGCGUGCAGGAUGAAGGCCUUCGGGUUGUAAACUGCUUUUGGACGGAACAAAAAGGACUGCCCUAAUACGGUGGUCCCAUGACGGUACCGUAAGAAUAAGCACCGGCUAACUACGUGCCAGCCGCCGCAGUAAUAC